rnacentral:rRNA from 1 species
GUCUACGGCCAUACCACCCUGAACGCGCCCGAUCUCGUCUGAUCUCGAAGCUAAGCAGGGUCGGGCCCGGUUAGUACUUGGAUGGGAGACCGCCUGGGAAUACCGGGUGCUGUAGGCU